AUGAAACUAGAAAGUUCUGAGAUUGCUAAAGAUAACAUUAAUCAGGCUAAGAAGAAACCCACAGACAAGGAGCGAGUCUUUGCCAGCCCAGGCUCUUUUAAAGUUAGCUUUCCGGAGCCUAAGAAGCAUCCUCUCUUCCAGCUCUCAGAGAUAAAGACAGACACACUCCUGCUAUGGGUGCUGAUGCUCUGGGUUCCAGGAUUCAAUGGUGACAUUGUGCUGACCCAGUCUCCAGCUUCUUUGGCUGUGUCUCUAGGGCAGAGGACCACCAUCUCCUGCAGGGCCAGCAAAAGCGUCAGUUUAUUUGGCGUCAUUAAUCCUAUGAACUGGUAUCAACAGAAACCAGGACAGCCACUCAAACUCCUCUUAUAUCAGGCAUCCUACCUAGAAUCUAGGGUCCCUGCCAAUUUCAGUGGCAGUGGGUCUGGGACAGACUUCACCCUCACCAUCCAUCCUGUGGAGGCUAAUGAUGCUGCAAUGUAUUACUGA